rnacentral:rRNA from 1 species
UAUGAACGCUGGCGGCGUGCUUAACACAUGCCAGUCGAACGGUGAAGGCGGAGCUUGCUCUGCUGGAUCAGUGGCGAACGGGUGAGUAACACGUGAGCAAUCUGCCCCUGACUCUGGGAUAAGCGCUGGAAACGGCGUCUAAUACUGGAUACGAGCUGCGAAGGCAUCUUCAGCAGCUGGAAAGAACUUCGGUCAGGGAUGAGCUCGCGGCCUAUCAGCUUGUUGGUGAGGUAACGGCUCACCAAGGCGUCGACGGGUAGCCGGCCUGAGAGGGUGACCGGCCACACUGGGACUGAGACACGGCCCAGACUCCUACGGGAGGCAGCAGUGGGGAAUAUUGCACAAUGGGCGAAAGCCUGAUGCAGCAACGCCGCGUGAGGGACGACGGCCUUCGGGUUGUAAACCUCUUUUAGCAGGGAAGAAGCGAAAGUGACGGUACCUGCAGAAAAAGCGCCGGCUAACUACGUG